AUCAAAUAACUUAGAAAAAAAAAAAAGAAAGACCUUUGGUUUUCCUUAAAUCAUUUCUAGUGAGUGCUUCAGUAAGUUCAUCACUAUGCCCAGCACCCACCAUAAGCACUAACUUUCCUAAUCAACAUAAAAGGGGACACAACCGGCAGCAGGAGGUCCCGGCGUUCAACUUCUGGUCUCGUUCGCGGUGCUGUCGGCGACGGGGCGGUGUUCCCUUUCAAAGGCGUUGGCGCGAUGCUCUCCUUCGUGGUCAUCAUCUCCACGGACGCUGCUCCACGGCUUCUCCUCCCCUGUCUCGGCCCCAAGUACGCGGUCACCUUCGAGAAACCCUUCUCGUUCUUCCUCUUCUUCCUCUGUCUCACCUCCUCCUCUUCGCAACUUCACUCUCUCCGAUCAACGCUUCUGCCGUCGUAGCUCACCAAGUAAUUAGUUUUCUUCUUGUGCUCUUUGUUUUACCUAUUUAAUUUUCUCUUCCAUUUAAUUCAAUCCUUCAAUCUAUUCCAACUAGUGUCUCUGUAGUGGUGCCCAUUGGAAAAAAAAACUGAUAUGAAUUAGAUCUUUGUACUUGCAAAUUAGGAGAAGCUGUAUUUGAUGAUAGAUAUGAUGCAGAAGAAUGGUUAUUUUAAUUAAUAGAUAGAAAAUUGUAGAAGCUUGGUUCCCAUGGAUUCAAAGGGUUUUGUAGGCAAAAUAUUAUUAUUGGUGUUAUCUGAUGAUCACUACUAAUUUCAUUUGAUUAUUGCUAUCUUUAUAUGUUGUUAAUUCUUGUUUCUUUUUAAUUACAUGUCACAAAAAAAUAUCAGUUAUUAAUUAUUAGAGUGAAAUUCGAGUUCUAAUUUAAUUCUUUGUUGUGGACUAUUGAUGAUAAUUAUUCUUAGAAGUUAUUCUUUUUUAAUUUGUAGCUAUGCAGGGUUUGUUUAUUUUGAUGUUUAUAUAGAGACUAUAUUAAUUGGAAGCAAUUAAGAUGCAUGCUAGUUAAGUUCUAAUUAUUCUUGAUAUGAAAACUCAGAUGAAUGACAGCGCAUAAUGGUAACUGAUAACAUCAGACAUGUAUUUAGUUGGUUUUAGGUUUGAAUUGGUUUUGUUUUGCCCAGUAUGUGAGAAAUGGAUCAGUAACUGUUGAUGAAUGGUGAGUAACAGACAUUAACUUUAUAGAAUAAUGAUUUAAGUUGAAUUGUUUGUCCUUUAAUGCAAAUGGUUGUACUAUAGUUGUGUUGGUUUACUAUUAUUAUUAUAGCAAUAAAUAUGAACACACAUGAAUCUUUCCAAAGAUUUGUGACCACUUGAUGAUAGUGACAGAGUACAUGCACCAGCAAAUAGGACAAACAUGCCUUCCUAUGCAAAAACUAAACAGAACCAUAAGUGCAUUACAAGUCUAAUCUAAUGUCUUGGUGUUGUGUGUGUAUGUGUUUUGUAUAGAUAAUAUACUUUUUAUAAUGUUAUCCAAUUCCAAAUCCACUAAUUUGAUUUACAUAUAUCUUCAUGACUUUAUGCAUUUAUUCGUGUAAUUGCUUUUUCUAUCGCUCUUUACCAAUUGCUCCACUAAUUCUGAUUCAUGUAAUUGCUUUUUCUAUGACAAAAACUGAAAAGUGCUAAUGACCUACUAUUAUUUUGGUUGAUGGAUACUUCUCCUACUAAUGCAUUUCAAAAAGUUUUUGGUAAAGAAAAUCCAGGAAGAGUUCGAUGUUUUGGAAGAACUGUUACAAAAGCUUCUCUUAAGAAAAAUAAAGAAAUAGAUGAAAUAAAAAAACAAAGUGAAGAGAAGGUAACAGCUUUAAAAACUGAAUUAGAUGACCAUAAGCAACGACUGCAAGGAUUAGAAGAUAUUGUGAAACUUAUGCUGCAACAAACUUCUCCUGGUAUGAAUGUUGAUGAAGCGCUUUCUCUCUUGCGAUCUAAGCAAUCGUCUGCAAAUAGUGCACAAGAUCCAAAUUUAGUUCCUCGACAUUCUCCUCCAUCGACUCAUAUACCAAAUCAUGAUUAGCUUUCUUAUUGUUGGAUGAAGUUUUCUGAAGACAUAAAGGCAAUUCUUGGCGCAAUGGUGAAGCACCAAGUCUUUUUGGUUUCAAGUCAAAAACUUAGUUUCUUUUUGGUUUAAGUUCAUCAUCAGAAAAACAUGUAUUUUGCUUACUUAUGUUUAUUAUUUAUUUGACUUAGUAAUUUGGCAAGUAUGUUAAUUGGCACUUGGUAGACCUUUCUAUAUAUAUGCAAUAUAUAUUAUUAGCUUAUUCAAA